AUAGCCGACGGAACGAGUAAAUCUCAUCCUAAUCUGGUUGACACAACACAAGGAAGUGCUACCGAUUUGGCUUGGGAUUGACUUGUGGAAAUGGCUUUUUA
rnacentral:pre_miRNA from 14 species